rnacentral:snRNA from 1 species
GUGCUCACUUCAGCAGCACAUAUACUAAGAAUUGGACUGAUACAGAGAAGAUUAGCACGUUCCCUGUGCAAGGAUGACAUGCAAAUUCGUGAAGCAUUCCAUAUUUCC